rnacentral:rRNA from 1 species
CCUACGGGUGGCAGCAGUAGGGAAUCUUCCACAAUGGGCGCAAGCCUGAUGGAGCAACACCGCGUGAGUGAAGAAGGGUUUCGGCUCGUAACGCUCUGUUGUUGGAGAAGAACGUGCGUGAGAGUAACUGUUCACGCAGUGACGGUAUCCAACCAGAAAGUCACGGCUAACUACGUGCCAGCCGCCGCGGUAAUACGGAGGAUGCGAGCGUUAUCCGGGUUUAUUGGGGUUAAAGGGUGCGUAGGCGGAAUGCAAAGUCCGCGGUAAAAUCGCGGGGGUCAACCUCGCUCCGCCGUUGAAACUGGCGUUCUGGAGUGGGCGAGAAGUAUGCGGAAUGCGUGGUGUAGCGGUGAAAUGCAUAGAUAUCACGCAGAACUCCGAUUGCGAAGGCAGCAUACCGGCGCCCAACUGACGCUGAAGCACGAAAGCGUGGGUAUCGAACAGGAUUAGAUACCCCAGUAGUC